CCUACGGGUGACAGCAGUAGGGAAUAUUGCUCAAUGGGGGAAACCCUGAAGCAGCAACGCCGCGUGAAGGAAGAAGGGUUUCGGAUUGUAAACCCCUUUUGUUAGGGGAGAAAAUGACGGUAUGUAAAGAGUAAGCACCAGCUAACGCCGUGCCAGCAGCAGCGGAAAUACGGAGGGUGCAAGCGUUACUCGGAAUCACUGGGCUUAAAGGGCGCGUAGGCGGGAUAGCAAGUCAGAUGUGAAAUCCUAGGGCUUAACCCUAGAACUGCAUUUGAAACUGUCAUUCUAGAGUAUGGGAGAGGUAUGUGGAAUUCGUGGUGUAGGGGUGAAAUGCGUAGAGAUCAAGAGGAAGACUAAUUGCGAAGGCGACCUACUGGACCAUAACUGACGCUGAUGCGCGAAAGCGUGGGGAGCAAACAGGAUUAGAUACCCCGGUAGUC
rnacentral:rRNA from 1 species